UACGGAGGGGGCUAGCGUUGUUCGGAAUCACUGGGCGUAAAGCGCACGUAGGCGGCCUCUUAAGUCGGUGGUGAAAUCCUGGAGCUCAACUCCAGAACUGCCUUCGAUACUGAGAGUCUCGAGUCCGAGAGAGGUGAGUGGAACUGCGAGUGUAGAGGUGAAAUUCGUAGAUAUUCGCAAGAACACCAGUGGCGAAGGCGGCUCACUGGCUCGGUACUGACGCUGAGGUGCGAAAGCGUGGGGAGCAAACAGG
rnacentral:rRNA from 1 species